CCGACUGAGAGAGUGCCAAGACCGGCGACCAAACAGUGCAAACAUCCAAUAUUUACCACCGAAAAAAAAAAAUAGAACUCGUUGAAACAGAACGAGUGGGAGAAAAAUAAAAGAAUAGCUCCGUUCUUCACCAGCCGAUAUUAUACGGAGCAUCUGGAUCUCCAGAUUUGAUAUCUUACUCCGACCUCUCAAUUGUCCCCUCAAGCGAAACAGCAAAAGAACUAUAAGAACACCGCAGAAAAAAUCCAUCCACGAGAACAGACACAGUUCACAUUACUACUAGUAGUAUUGUGCGGCCGGAGCCAAUUUUAUUGUUUUUUUUUUUUUUGAUCGGCUUUCAACUUAUUUAAUUUCCUUAUUGGCAUACUCCGUGUUUUUGAAAAAGUUCCGAGCGGGAGCAGCGUGUUUGCUGUUUUGCGCAGCUCCCUUUUCGGACUUCACAUCGAGAUGGAGAACGUCGCGCAAACUCCGUUCAUUCGGGAGUUAGCCUCCAGCGAUAAACGAACCCGCGACAAGGCCCUUGACUCGCUAACCCGCUUCAUCCAAAGCCGGAGAGACUUGCAGCUUGUCGAGCUAUUAAAGAUAUGGAAAGGGCUAUUCUUCUGCUUCUACCACUCCGACCGUCCUCUAACCCAACAAUCCCUCGCGCGCUCGCUUUCCUUCACACUCGUCCCCUCUCUCCCUGCGCAAAUCCUCCAACCAUUCCUGCGAGCAUUCUGGACAACCAUGUCGCGCGACUUCCACUCCCU
rnacentral:sRNA from 1 species